GAAUGAAUGUCCAUUGUUUCCGGUGAAAACAGCUGAUAGAAGAUGUCAUAUCCUUUACUAGUUUCCCACAGAUGUUCCGAGAUGCAAUUUAAUACAGACCUUAGUUAUGCACAAAAGAAUCAAGCACAUAACAAAGUCAAUGCAAAGAAUAAGCAAACUCAAGAUUCAUAAUGGUGUGGAUAUGUUAUAGGUGCAAAUGGACUGCAGAUAUGAACAUGAGUCUUCCCAUUAUUACGAAAGAAAAGGAAGAGAGAAGUCUUUGAGGAAUAUCUUGUGAAAAUUGCAUUGAAAUUCUAACCUAAAAUGAAAUCCAUUGUAAACCCACACUCUUGCCAGUGAGGAUACAUUGUAAAUCAGAGCCUAAUAGUGUCAUCUUUGGAACAUCAAUUUUGUUCGUUAUACUGCGCUGUUCCCUGUGAUGUUUUACAUAUAGGAUUUUGAGAUAAUAUUGGUAACAGAAUGUCAAUCAUAUAAUGUAAAAUAAGGGAACUCCAUUCAGUGUUUUACUUUGAAAUAUAUUACUCUGUACAUGUAAUAGAUUUCUAAAUCAGAAAUAAUUCAUUCCAUUUAUCUGUUUGCUACAAGGGCUGUGUAUUCAAAUUAAAAUUUACACAUGAUAUGAUGCAAUGUCUUUAAGCAGUGUGCAAUGUACAUGUGUAUAGGGAUUAAUCUUGUGAAUCUUUUAAUACAUAAGUUUUCAAGGACUGAUUUCUUUAAAGUUUUAUCAAGUACAUGUAGUUCUUAUCUCACUGUUCAUUACAAAAAAGACUUCAGACUUUAAAAAUACAUGUAUUUAAGACCAAUGUCUAAAAUCACAGCUUUCUGUGAGUAACUCACUAUUUUUUUUAAAUGAGCAUCUGUCAAUUUGCUGAAUGUUUUUUUUAAUCAUAAUAGGUCAUAGGUGUAUUUCAGAACAUCAAAAAUUUUUUUUUUUCUCAAAUUUCUCUUGACCAAUAUAUUGAGAUUUUAUUUGUAAGAAUUAAGUAAAAAAAAAAAAUUACCAGAUCAGCAUUGGAAAGAUGUCCACAUUUAUAUGCAUUUAGUUUUAUAGAGUGUAUCCUCAUUUGUAUUGUUACUAUUGUACAAUGUAGGUUCAAUUGUUUGA